rnacentral:piRNA from 1 species
UUGGAGACUGUUGAUUUCCUGGUUUAACU